UAAUUCCAUGUUUAAAGCAUAUAGGGCUUAUUUGUUUGCAUGAAAGUGGAGUGAAAGUGGGAGCGAAAAAGUAAUUUUCGAUAAAAAUUGACCAUUUUCGUUAUUUGGCUCGUCGUAAAAAAGUUACUAAAAAAGUUAUGAUCGAAACUCCAGUUAAUCUGAAACAAUGUAAUUGACUUCAACUCAUCAUUGGGCCGAAGUCAAUUACGUACGAUAAAAAGGUGAAGAAAAAAUAAUAAAAUAAUAUACUAGGUAAAGAUAGUUAUAUUAAUUUAAAUAUAUCUAAUAUGUUACUAAUUAUUUUUUAUUUAUUGGCAUAUUUAAAAUAUGAUAAAAUUUGAUUAGUUAAGUUUUAAUUUUUUUUUAUUUAGUUUGUACAAUUAAAAUAUAAUAAAAAUUUAUUAAUUAAGUAUUAAUAUUUUUUUACUUUACACUUUUAUUGUUGUAUUAAUAUAAUUGAUGUAUAAACAAAAUUUAGUUGCUUUAAAUUAAAUUUUAAUUAUAUAAAAAAUAAUUAUAUUAUUUUUAUUUAUUAAAUUAUUUAUUAUUUAUAUAUAAAUUAUAAUUUUAUAUCAUACACUUCCUACCAAACAAACAGUAGAAUUAAUGAAACUUCAUUUGCAUAACUAUGAAACAAACAGCGUAGGAAAAGUAAUUGUUAUCGAACUCCACUUCAAUCCAAAGUCCACCUCAAUUUAAAGUCCAGUUUCGAUAAAACAAGCAUAACCAUAAUAUGUAAUCGGAGCUAGGCUCCUAUGUUUUCGAAAGUACGGAGGUCUCCGUGCUUGUAAGUGGUUUUCGAUGAUGGAGCAUCCGAUUCGUUGAUCGGCUCCGUUAGAUAUGAUCUACAGUAUUGGAAACUAUUUAGAAACCAAAUUUAAUAAAUUUUUAACUUUUUUUGCCUAGUGAAUGAGUAGGCUCAAAAUGAACGAUUGAAAAUAAAAAUCUCAUAAAAAUAGUAAUAAAAGACUCAAAUUUCAAAUCGAAAGUAUUGUUCUUACUCUUAGGGAGCAUUUGGUUCGCAUUAUGAAAGAUUACUAGGAAUAAAAGAUAUCCGAGAAUUUUAUUCCUAUUCAUCUUAUUACUAAGAAUGUGGAAUUUCUGUGUUUGGUUCGCACGAUAAUAUUAAUUAGCCAUAUUAUUUAUUAUUAUAAAAAAUAUACAAUUAAUUAAUUAAUUAAUUAAUUAAUUUUAGAUAAUGUUACCAAAAAUUUCAAUAUUUUUUUAGAAAAAAAGGAGAGAGAGUAUAAGUUAGAAAAAGAGCAUAAUUAAAAAAAUAGAAAGAAAAAUAUAGUCGAAAUUAGAAGGAGUGAGAGAGUUGAAAUUUUAGAAAGAGAGAGAGAGAAAAAGCUUAGUUUAGAGAGAGAAAAAAAAGUUGAAUUUUAGAGAGAAAAAUAAGUUUAGAAAGAGAUAUAAGGUUAGAGUGUAAAGAAAAAUAAUAUCAAUUAAAUAAUAUCAAUUAAUCGGCGGGUAAGAAGAAAGAAAAAUAUUAGACAUAUUAUGAUUACCCCAAUCUAUUAAUAUAAGGAUACCCACCCUUAGAAUGAGAUUAGUCCUUUGGGGUGAAUCUUAUUCCCAAGUGAAUCUAAUAUUACCAACUAGAUUACUUAGUGCGUUUAACCAAACACCGUCAUAUUUUUUUAUUCCCAUUGGAUUACUAGGAAUCUUUAAAAGAUAACGCGAACCAAAUGCACCCUAAAUGUUAAGUGAAAUUUUCUAUUAAAAUUUCAUGUAAUUUGAAUUUUUCUACACUGUUGAAAUUUAAAAUGCGCUACAUCGGCCGUUAAAAUAGUUAUUUUUGAGACUCUUUGAUUACUUAAUAAAUGAUGUCGAAAUAUUAUGAAAUUUAGUUUCUAAAUAGUUCAAUAGCGUAGAUUAUGCCUAACAGGAUCGAUCACCGAAUUGGAUGCUCCAUUAUAAAAAAUAACUUAUAAACACGGAAGGUUCCGUACUUUUGAAAGUAUAGAACACGUACUCUAUUUAAUAAUUAGAAACAUAUGAACUUUC
rnacentral:lncRNA from 1 species